rnacentral:rRNA from 1 species
CUUCCGUAGGUGAACCUGCGGAAGGAUCAUUACCGAGUUUUCGGGCUUCGGCUCGACUCUCCCACCCUUUGUGAACGUACCUCUGUUGCUUUGGCGGCUCCGGCCGCCAAAGGACCUCCAAACUCCAGUCAGUAAACGCAGACGUCUGAUAAACAAGUUAAUAAACUAAAACUUUCAACAACGGAUCUCUUGGUUCUGGCAUCGAUGAAGAACGCAGCGAAAUGCGAUAAGUAAUGUGAAUUGCAGAAUUCAGUGAAUCAUCGAAUCUUUGAACGCACAUUGCGCCCCUUGGUAUUCCGGGGGGCAUGCCUGUUCGAGCGUCAUUACAACCCUCAAGCUCUGCUUGGAAUUGGGCACCGUCCUCACUGCGGACGCGCCUCAAAGACCUCGGCGGUGGCUGUUCAGCCCUCAAGCGUAGUAGAAUACACCUCGCUUUGGAGUGGUUGGCGUCGCCCGCCGGACGAACCUUCUGAACUUUUCUCAAGGUUGACCUCGGAUCAGGUAGGGAUACCCGCUGAACUUAAGCAUAUCAAUAGGCGGAGGAA